GAUGAACGCUAGCGAUAGGCUUAACACAUGCAAGUCGAGCGAGAAUUCACCUUCGGGUGGAGGAAAGUGGCGGACGGGUGAGUAAUGUGUAGAGAAUCUACCCUAGAGAGGGGGACAACAGCUGGAAACGGUUGCUAAUACCCCAUAUGAGGUAACUUAGAAAUAGUUAUCUUGAAAACUCCGGUGCUCUGGGAUGAGUCUGCAUCUGAUUAGCUAGUUGGGGGUGGUAAUGGACCACCAAGGCGACGAUCAGUAGCUGGUUUGAGAGGAUGAUCAGCCACAAUGGGACUGAGACACGGCCCAU
rnacentral:rRNA from 1 species